GACGAACACUGGCGGCGUGCUUAACACAUGCAAGUCGAACGAUGAAGCUGGAGCUUGCUCCGGUGGAUUAGUGGCGAACGGGUGAGUAACACGUGAGCAAUCUGCCCUUGACUCUGGGAUAACUGCGGGAAACUGUAGCUAAUACCGGAUACGAGGCUCGAAGGCAUCUUCGGGUCUGGAAAGAAUUUCGGUAAAGGAUGAGCUCGCGGCCUAUCAGCUUGUUGGUGAGGUAAUGGCUCACCAAGGCGACGACGGGUAGCCGGCCUGAGAGGGUGACCGGCCACACUGGGACUGAGACACGGCCCAGACUCCUACGGGAGGCAGCAGUGGGGAAUAUUGCACAAUGGGCGAAAGCCUGAUGCAGCAACGCCGCGUGAGGGAUGAAGGCCUUCGGGUUGUAAACCUCUUUUAGCAGGGAAGAAGCGAAAGUGACGGUACCUGCAGAAAAAGCACCGGCUAACUACGUGCCAGCCGCCGCGGUAA
rnacentral:rRNA from 1 species